rnacentral:lncRNA from 1 species
UUUAUUAGGGAAAGUUGGGGGUCAUGUCUCAGCUACCUAUAGUUUUAUUAGUAGAGGCUUGAUAGAUGGUCAUUCAGAGUUGAUGUAUUUACUUCUAGUUUUGUUUUGUAUAACCAAAGUAUAAAUAUUUUAAAUAAUUUUGUAUUGAACAUAUUUAGCUAUGACAUCUUUUCCGCUUAGUUCUUCCAUAUUUAUGUAACAUAAUUCAAUCACUCAUGAGUUAU